rnacentral:rRNA from 1 species
GACGAACGCUGGCGGCGUGCUUAACACAUGCAAGUCGAACGGAAAGGCCUGCUUUCCCCUGUGGAUUGCGGGUACUCGAGUGGCGAACGGGUGAGUAACACGUGAGUGAUCUGCCCCCAACUUGGGUAUAAGCCUGGGAAACUGGGUCUAAUUCCCGAUAGGACUGCAGGGUGGUGCCUGUGGUGGAAAACGAUUUUCUAGUGGUUGGGGAUGAGCUCGCGGCCUAUCAGCUUGUUGGUGGGGUAAUGGCCUACCAAGGCGGCGACGGGUAGCCGGCCUGAGAGGGUGGACGGCCACAUUGGGACUGAGAUACGGCCCAGACUCAUACGGGAGGCAGCAGUGGGGAAUAUGGCACAAGGGGCGGAAGCCUGAUGCAGCGACGCCGCGGGGGGGAUGACGGCCUUCGGGUUGUAAACUCCUUUCGACCGCGAGGAAGCCACCUGGUUGGAAGGGUGGUGACGGUAGUGGUAGAAGAAGCACCGGCUAACUACGUG